UACGUAGGUGGCAAGCGUUGUUCGGAAUUAUUGGGCGUGGAGGGCGCGUAGGCGGUUUUGUAAGUCGGCUGUGAAAGCCCGGGGCUCAACCCCGGAGGGUCGGCUGAUACUGCAAGACUAGAGUACAGAAGAGGUAACUGGAAUUCCCGGUGUAGCGGUGAAAUGCGCAGAUAUCAGGAGGAACACCGGCGGCGAAGGCGGCACUCUGGGCCGGUACUGACGCUGAGGAGCGAAAGCGUGGGUAGCAAACAGG
rnacentral:rRNA from 1 species